rnacentral:rRNA from 1 species
UACGUAGGUGGCAAGCGUUGUUCGGAAUUAUUGGGCGUAAAGGGCGCGUAGGCGGUUUGCUAAGUCAGUUGUGAAAGCCCGGGGCUCAACCCCGGAGGGUCGGCUGAUACUGGUGGACUAGAGUACGGAAGAGGUAGCUGGAAUUCCCGGUGUAGCGGUGAAAUGCGUAGAGAUCGGGAGGAACACCAGAGGCGAAAGCGGCGACCUGGACAGGUACUGACACUCAAUUGCGAAAGCGUGGGGAGCAAACAGG